UACGUAGGGUGCGAGCGUUGUCCGGAAUUACUGGGCGUAAAGAGCUCGUAGGUGGUUUGUCGCGUUGUUCGUGAAAACUCACAACUCAAUUGUGGGCGUGCGGGCGAUACGGGCAGACUGGAGUACUGCAGGGGAGACUGGAAUUCCUGGUGUAGCGGUGGAAUGCGCAGAUAUCGGGAGGAACACCGGUGGCGAAGGCGGUUCUCUGGGACGGUACUGACGCUGAGACGCGAAAGCGUGGGGAGCGAACAGG
rnacentral:rRNA from 1 species